rnacentral:rRNA from 1 species
CGGGGUAUGCACAAGCUAGUCGUCGCCGGCAGCGGGUCCUUCGUAAUGCCGGCGAGUGGCGAACGGGUGAGUAAUGCAUCGGAACGUACCCAGUCGUGGGGGAUAACUACUCGAAAGAGUAGCUAAUACCGCAUACGACCUGAGGGUGAAAGCGGGGGACCGCAAGGCCUCGCGCGAUUGGAGCGGCCGAUGUCGGAUUAGCUAGUUGGUGGGGUAAAGGCUUACCAAGGCGACGAUCCGUAACUGGUCUGAGAGGACGGCCAGCCACACUGGGACUGAGACACGGCCCAGACUCCUACGGGAGGCAGCAGUGGGGAAUUUUGGACAAUGGGCGCAAGCCUGAUCCAGCCAUGCCGCGUGCGGGAAGAAGGCCUUCGGGUUGUAAACUACUUUUGUCAGGGAAGAAAAGCUCUGGGCUAAUACCUCGGAGUGAUGACGGUACCUGAAGAAUAAGCACCGGCUAACUACGUGCCAGCAGCCGCGGUAAUACGUAGGGUGCGAGCGUUAAUCGGAAUUACUGGGCGUAAAGCGUGCGCAGGCGGUUGUGCAAGACAGAUGUGAAAUCCCCGGGCUUAACCUGGGAACUGCAUUUGUGACUGCACGGCUAGAGUGCGGCAGAGGGGGAUGGAAUUCCGCGUGUAGCAGUGAAAUGCGUAGAUAUGCGGAGGAACACCGAUGGCGAAGGCAGUCCCCUGGGGCCUGCACUGACGCUCAUGCACGAAAGCGUGGGGGAGCAAACAGGAUUAGAUACCCUGGUAGUCCACGCCCCUAAACGAUGUCAACUGGUUGUUGGGGGAUUCAUUUUCCUCAGUAACGAAGGCUAACGCGUGAAAGUUGACCGCCCUGGGGGAGUACGGGCC